AGCUACUGGUAAAACUUAGAAACGUGCUUGGUGGGAAGUUCUGGCUGAUAAUGUUGGCAGAGAUUUCUUGCUUACAUUUUACUUUGCUGGAGAAAUACAAGUAAUUUCUUUUUGCAAGCAAAAUCAAAACCAGGCUGCGCAGCAUGGCUUUUGUGACUACAUUAGGAACUGUUUGCUGGAGCGUUUUCCACUGCCAGGCUGGGUUCAGGUUUCUUUCUGAGAUGAUUCAAAACUAGUCUUAAGAGUGAUCGGCCACGAUGGUAUUUGGGAGCUGUAUGGAGGAGAGAAACACAGCCCCUCCAUUGAAAAGAGUUUGUGGGUGACCACGCACAAGAGCACAAAAUUGUGUCUGCCAUCUCAGUUUAGAGCUUGGAGAAACGGGGCUAUCGCACCACUACUGCUUAAGAUGAUCAGUGACAAAAUCUCAGAAGGCUGAAACACAGGAGUUUUAAACAAGAUCGCGGGGCCUGCCC